rnacentral:rRNA from 1 species
GACGAACGCUGGCGGCGUGCUUAACACAUGCAAGUCGAACGGUAAGGCCCUUCGGGGUACGACGAGUGGCGAACGGGUGAGUAACACGUGGGUGAUCUGCCCUGCACUUCGGGAUAAGCCUGGGAAACUGGGUCUAAUACCGGAUAGGACCAUGGACUUCACGGUUUGUGGUGGAAAGCUUUUGCGGUGUGGGAUGGGCCCGCGGCCUAUCAGCUUGUUGGUGGGGUAAUGGCCUACCAAGGCGACGACGGGUAGCCGGCCUGAGAGGGUGUCCGGCCACACUGGGGACUGAGAUACGGCCCAGACUCCUACGGGAGGCAGCAGUGGGGAAUAUUGCACAAUGGGCGCAAGCCUGAUGCAGCGACGCCGCGUGAGGGAUGACGGCCU